CUAAGCGACAGUGACGACGAGGAUGACGUCGACGAUGGUGAUGAAACUGACCCCCUCAUGAUAAAGUCCAAGAAGCCCCGCAAGGCCCGCACGGCCUUCACUGACCACCAGCUGAGCUGUCUGGAGAAAAGUUUCGAGAGACAGAAAUACCUCAGUGUCCAGGACAGGAUGGAACUGGCGGCCAAACUCAACCUCACGGACACCCAGGUGAAGACGUGGUACCAGAACAGAAGAACCAAGUGGAAG